rnacentral:misc_RNA from 1 species
UCCUCCUUACAGAGGCAGUUCCGUCCGAGUUCCCACCAUUACGUGCUGGCAACAGACAGUGAGGGUUGCGCUCGUUGCGGGACUUAACCCAACAUUUCACAACACGAGCUGACGACAGCCAUGCACCACCUGUGCUUCACCCUCGAAGGCGACCACUUUUGGGUGGCUUGCAGAAGCAUGUCAAGCCCUGGUAAGGUUCUUCGCGUUGCAUCGAAUUAAGCCACAUAAUCCACCGCUUGUGCGGGUCCCCGUCAAUUCCUUUGAGUUUUAACCUUGCGGCCGUACUCCCCAGGCGGUCAACUUCACGCGUUAGCUUCGUUACCAAGGAAUUGCUUCCCCGACAACCAGUUGACAUAGUUUAGGGCGUGGACUAC